rnacentral:rRNA from 1 species
UCGCCUGUUUUACAAAAACAUGUUUGUAUGUGUAGGAUAUAGAGUAUGGCCUGCCCGUUGAGUAGUUUGAAAGGCCGCGGUAAUUUGACCGUGCGAAGGUAGCAUAGUAAUUAGUUUUUUAAUUGAGAACUUGUAUGAAAGGUUAGAUGAGAAAUAGACUGUCUUAUUUAUAAAUUUUGAAUUUGACUUUUGAGUGAAAAGGCUUAAAUGUGAAAAGGGGACGAUAAGACCCUAUAAAACUUGAUAAUAUAUUUAUUGUAUUUUAUAUUUAUGGGUAUAUUAAAAUGUAAUUUGUUUUUAUUUUGUUGGGGCGACAGGAAUAUAAAUGGUAACUGUUCUUGAAUAUAACAGGUAUAAUUGAUUUUAUUUGAUCCUAUAAUGAAGAUUGGAAGGAAAAGUUACUUUAGGGAUAACAGCGUAAUUUUCUUUGAGAGUUCUUAUCGAUAAGAAAGAUUACGACCUCGAUGUUGAAUUAAAAUUUCCUUGUGGUGUAGCAGUUACAAAGGAGGGUCUGUUCGACCUUUAAAUUUUUACAUGAUUUGAGUUCAAACCGGCGUGAGCCAGGUUGUUUUCUAUCUA